rnacentral:rRNA from 1 species
CCUACGGGCGGCAGCAGUGGGGAAUAUUGCACAAUGGGGGAAACCCUGAUGCAGCGACGCCGCGUGAGUGAAGAAGUAUUUCGGUAUGUAAAGCUCUAUCAGCAGGGAAGAAAAUGACGGUACCUGACUAAGAAGCCCCGGCUAACUACGUGCCAGCAGCCGCGGUAAUACGUAGGGGGCAAGCGUUAUCCGGAUUUACUGGGUGUAAAGGGAGCGUAGACGGCAGGGCAAGUCUGAAGUGAAAUUCCAAGGCUUAACCAUGGAACUGCUUUGGAAACUGUGCAGCUGGAGUGCAGGAGAGGUAAGCGGAAUUCCUAGUGUAGCGGUGAAAUGCGUAGAUAUUAGGAGGAACACCAGUGGCGAAGGCGGCUUACUGGACUGUAACUGACGUUGAGGCUCGAAAGCGUGGGGAGCAAACAGGAUUAGAUACCCCUGUAGUC